UGGUUCUGGCAUCGAUGAAGAACGCAGCGAAAUGCGAUAAGUAAUGCGAAUUGCAGAAUUCAGUGAGUCAUCGAAUCUUUGAACGCACAUUGCGCCCUUUGGUAUUCCGAAGGGCAUGCCUGUUCGAGCGUCAUUAUCAACCAUCAAGCCUGGCUUGCCGUUGGACCCUCCUUUUGUCGCCUAGUGACAGGUCCAAAAGAUAAUGACCGGUGUCGUGGUGACCCUAUAUGCAACGAGCUUGUAAGAGCAUGCACUUAGUGGCCGCCCGGCUCGGUUGUCACCCUUUAUUUUCUCAAGGUUGACCUCGGAUCAGGUAGGAAUACCCGCUGA
rnacentral:misc_RNA from 1 species